rnacentral:misc_RNA from 1 species
CUUGACUAUACGAGCACUAGAAUAAGCAUAGGUCCAAAUAAAGAUCUCAGACACAAUGUAAUUUGUGCGGAAUAGAUCCUUCAGGCAAAUGAUCACAGGAAUUUCUUCAUAGGUAAAAUAUGGACUAACAAGUUCAAUGCCACAAAGAAACUAGCACAUUGCAAUGAGCACAAAUUGUAGAUUUCCUUCCACAAAAAUGAUUUAACUUCUACUCUUGUUUGUUUUGGCCUCUUCUCUAUUGCUAAGGUAUCCAGCAUAUCAUCAAGGUAAAGAAAGAAACAAACAACAUGAAAAUGGCAGAGGGAACUGCAUGUAAAAAAGCAAAGACAGGAUAAGAGUGAUUUGCAGUUGAGUCUGACAGUAGGCAGGAAAAGGUAAUCUUUAAGAGGUAUUGAGUUUAAAAAAGAGAUUCCAGAAAAUAUAAGUUUCCCUAUAGUGCAUGAAUUCUAGUACAUACAUUACAAUCCAGGUGGUAGAUUCUUGUACAAGG